CCUACGGGGGGCUGCAGUGGGGAAUAUUGGACAAUGGGCGAAAGCCUGAUCCAGCCAUGCCGCGUGUGUGAAGAAGGCCUUCGGGUUGUAAAGCACUUUCAGUGGGGAAGAAAGCCUUGGGGCUAAUACCCUCGAGGAAGGACAUCACCCACAGAAGAAGCACCGGCUAACUCCGUGCCAGCAGCCGCGGUAAUACGGAGGGUGCGAGCGUUAAUCGGAAUUACUGGGCGUAAAGCGCGCGUAGGCGGUCUGAUAAGCCGGUUGUGAAAGCCCCGGGCUCAACCUGGGAACGGCAUCCGGAACUGUCAGGCUAGAGUGCAGGAGAGGAAGGUAGAAUUCCCGGUGUAGCGGUGAAAUGCGUAGAGAUCGGGAGGAAUACCAGUGGCGAAGGCGGCCUUCUGGACUGACACUGACGCUGAGGUGCGAAAGCGUGGGUAGCAAACAGGAUUAGAUACCCCGGUAGU
rnacentral:rRNA from 1 species